rnacentral:rRNA from 1 species
UAUAGGAGGUCCAGCCUGCCCAGUGACUACAAGUUCAACGGCCGCGGUAUUUUGACCGUGCAAAGGUAGCGCAAUCACUUGUCUCUUAAAUAGAGACCUGUAUGAAUGGCUAAACGAGGGCUUAACUGUCUCCCCCCUCCAGUCAGUGAAAUUGAUCUACCCGUGCAGAAGCGGGUGUAAUAAUACAAGACGAGAAGACCCUUUGGAGCUUAAGGUACAAAAAUCAGCCACGUCAAGCAACUUAAUAAAAAGCAAAAACUUUGUGGAUAAUGACAUUUUUACCUUCGGUUGGGGCGACCACGGAGGAAAAAAGAGCCUCCAGGUGGACUGGGAAAACAUCCUAAAGCCAAGAGAGACAUCUCUAGGCCACAGAACAUCUGACCAAUCAUGAUCCGGCUGAUAAAGCCGAUCAACGAACCAAGUUACCCUAGGGAUAACAGCGCAAUCCUCUCCCAGAGUCCAUAUCGACGAGGGGGUUUACGACCUCGAUGUUGGAUCAGGACAUCCUAAUGGUGCAGCC